CAGUGGACAUUGCUGUGCUACCAUGACCACAUCUGCCACAGGACUGUAUGAGAACAUAUGAAGAAUUCUUCCACCAUCACAACCCUCUGUUCCUGAGUCACUUCAGAUUUCACAUGAUAGAAGAAAAGCAACUGCCUUGGUAUCAGAUAGACAUGAAUUUGGAUUGUGGUUCUGUCCUUUGUCAAUGGGGAGCCACCAGCGCUAUCCAUGAAUGGCUCUGUCCCAAACUGGAAUACACAGCUGCCUGCAGAGAGACCACUGAUUGUCUAAGCAGGAGCAAGUUUACUUACCCGAAGCAUACAGUCUUUUCCGGGGACCCGGAGCUGGCCAGCCAUUAGGAGGGUGCUAAGUCCUGCGAGGAUGGGAAAUGACAACAGGCAGCAGGUGAGAGCCAGGCAGGCUUUGCUCCUGGCAGCUAGCCCGGCCCUGGCCUCUGGCCUGUGUCUACAGCCUUCCGGCAGCACUUCCACUGGGACUCCUUCUCCGAAGCCCAACCCCAGCUCCUCUGCCAUCCUUCUGCUGUCUUGGAGAGACUUCUGAUCCCUUCUGACCAGAGAGCCCCCCAUUAAAUAAGAGAGCAGCUGUCACACUGAAUCAUGAAGCCAAAUGGAACACAUGAUCUCAUCAACCUCACAGCCACCCGUGGAGAAUGGUGCUGUCCCCAUUCUGCAGAUGAUGAAAACAGAGGCCAAGCAGGAUGAGGUCAUUUGCCUGAAGCCACAUAGCCAUGAGGAGGCAGAGGAACGAAAUCUUGUCCAUGUUCAAGGACCUCAGAGAAUAGCUGCUGUUUCCUAAGAAGAUUUUUCAAAGAACAUCACAGGACUACUUUUCUUCUUGAAACUUCUCUCGAAUUAUGGGGAAGCCCUCCUUUAAAUCACCGAAAUCUUUUGAUGCUCAAGAUGACAUGUGAAUAACACUGUGUCCACAGGUAGAUAGGCUUUGAGUCUCAAGCCAACCAACUGUGGCUCAUUUACUAGAUUGUCAGGUGUUUUGUGAACACAGCAGAUUUCUAAAUAUUAAAUUAUUGGUGAAAAAAGA